UAGUACGGCGAGUGAAGAGGGAAAAGCUCAAAGUUGGAACCUGGCUGCCCUAGGCAGUCCGGAUUGUAAACUAAAGAGCGUGAUUCCAGGCAAGCCGGUUGACCAAGUCCUUUGGAAUGAGGCGCCACUGAGGGUGAGAGCCCCGUAAGUCGACUGAGCAUUUGUCUUUUGUGCUUCGCGUUCAAAGAGUCAGGUUGUUUGGGAAUGCAGCCUAAAGCUGGUGGUAAAUCCCACCUAAAGCUAAAUACAGGCGAGAGACCGAUAGCGAACAAGUACCGUGAGGGAAAGAUGAAAAGAACUUUGAAAAGAGAGUUAAACAGUAUGUGAAAUUGCCAAGAGGGAAGCAUUUGGAGUUAGAUUGACUAGGAGUUAAUCAGCUUGGUCUUUGGACUGGGUGUACUUGACUUCUUACAGUCUGCCAAUAGCAGUUAGUCCUAGUGGAAAAAACCAGAGGGAAGGUAGUCCUUCGGGAUGUUUAUAGACCUUUGGAAAAUACACUGGGAUUGACUGAGGAAUGCAGUAGAUGCCACUAAGGCUUCGUCUAGUGGGUGCUAGGCAAAGGUACUUGGUAUUUUCAGCUUGCUGAUGUGCUAGGUUACUCGAGUCUAGUCGCCUACUAGAACUGUAAUCUACUUUGGUUAUUGGCUUAAUGACUCUAAAUGGCC
rnacentral:rRNA from 1 species